UAGAGUUUACAAAACUCCCAACCCAUGUGAAUUUACCUAUGUUGCCUCGGCAGGUCCUACCCUGUAACUACCCUGUAGUUACCCUGUAGCCUGCCGGUGGACUUACAAACUCUGUUUUUAAUGGAAAUCUGAGCGUAUUUUUAAAUAAAUAA
rnacentral:misc_RNA from 1 species